UAGCCUUGACAUACUACAGAAUUUGACAGAGAUGUUGAAGUGCCUUCGGGAGCUGUAAUACAGGUGCUGCACGGCUGUCGUCAGCUCGUGUCGUGAGAUGUUGGGUUAAGUCCCGCAACGAGCGCAACCCUCGUCCUUAGUUACUAACGGUUCGGCUGAGGACUCUAAGGAGACUGCCUUCGUAAGGAGGAGGAAGGUGAGGACGACGUCAAGUCCUCAUGGCCUUUAUGCCCAGGGCUACACACGUGCUACAAUGGCUGGCACAAAGAGUCGCGAGACCGCGAGGUGGAGCUAAUCUCAUAAAACCAGUCUCAGUUCGGAUUGGAGUCUGCAACUCGACUCCAUGAAGUUGGAAUCGCUAGUAAUCGUGAAUCAGCACGCCACGGUGAAUACGUUCCCGGGCCU
rnacentral:rRNA from 1 species